ACGGGAGGCAGCAGUGGGGAAUAUUGGGCAAUGGGCGAAAGCCUGACCCAGCAACGCCGCGUGAAGGAAGAAGGUCUUCGGAUUGUAAACUUCUUUUAUGAGGGACGAAGGACGUGACGGUGCCUCAUGAAUAAGCCACGGCUAACUACGUGCCAGCAGCCGCGGUAAUACGUAGGUGGCAAGCGUUAUCCGGAUUUACUGGGUGUAAAGGGCGCGUAGGCGGGGGUGCAAGUCAGAUGUGAAAUCUAUGGGCUUAACUCAUAAACUGCAUUUGAAACUGUAUCUCUUGAGUGCUGGAGAGGUAGAUGGAAUUCCUUGUGUAGCGGUGAAAUGCGUAGAUAUAAGGAAGAACACCAGUGGCGAAGGCGAUCUACUGGACAGUAACUGACGCUGAGGCGCGAGAGCGUGGGGAGCAAGCAGGAUUAGAUACCCUGGUA
rnacentral:rRNA from 1 species